rnacentral:rRNA from 1 species
AGACUUGGCUUUUUUUUUCUGGCUGGUACCAGAUCCCAUCUGAUCUUGGAAGCUAAGUGGCAUCAGGCCAUCUGAUUAGUACUUGGAUGGGAGGCUGCCAAGGAAUACCAGGCUAUAUUUC